CCAUGCCAAAAUAAAUAUGGCUGCUGAAAUUAAUAUGGCAUGGGACUUAUGUCUGCUAGAAUUACCAUAUUAAUUUCAGCAGCCAUAUUAAUUUUGGCAUGC
rnacentral:pre_miRNA from 1 species